rnacentral:rRNA from 1 species
UUUCAUGAGAGUUUGAUCCUGGCUCAGGACGAACGCUGGCGGCGUGCCUAAUACAUGCAAGUCGAGCGAACC